UACGUAGGGCGCAAGCGUUAUCCGGAAUUAUUGGGCGUAAAGAGCUCGUAGGCGGUUUGUCGCGUCUGCCGUGAAAGUCCGGGGCUCAACUCCGGAUCUGCGGUGGGUACGGGCAGACUAGAAUGAUGUAGGGGAGACUGGAAUUCCUGGUGUAGCGGUGAAAUGCGCAGAUAUCAGGAGGAACACCGGUGGCGAAGGCGGCCCACUGGCUCGAUACUGACGCUGAGGAGCGAAAGCGUGGGGAGCGAACAGG
rnacentral:rRNA from 1 species